UACGUAGGGGGCUAGCGUUGUCCGGAAUCAUUGGGCGUAAAGAGCUCGUAGGCGGCUUGUCACGUCGGAUGUGAAAACCCGGGGCUCAACCCCGGGCCUGCAUUCGAUACGGGCAGGCUAGAGUUCGGCAGGGGAGACUGGAAUUCCUGGUGUAGCGGUGAAAUGCGCAGAUAUCAGGAGGAACACCGGUGGCGAAGGCGGGUCUCUGGGCCGAUACUGACGCUGAGGAGCGAAAGCGUGGGGAGCGAACAGG
rnacentral:rRNA from 1 species